AUUGAACGCUGGCGGCAGGCCUAACACAUGCAAGUCGAACGAGUGGCGGACGGGUGAGUAAUGUCUGGGAAACUGCCUGAUGGAGGGGGAUCACUACUGGAAACGGUCGCUAAUACCGCAUUCCAUCCGAUGUGCCCAGAUGGGAUUAGCUUGUUGGUGGGGUAACGGCUCACAAAGGCGGAGAUCCCUAGCUGGUCUGCGAGGAAGACCGGCCACACGGGAACUGCGACCAGGGCCAGACUCCUACGGGAGGCAGCAGUGGGGAAUAUUGCACAAUGGGGGCAAGCCUGAUGCAGCCAGGCCGCGUGUGUGAAGAAGUCCUUCGGGUUGUAAAGUACUUUCGGCGGAGAGGCGUUACCCGCAGAAGAAGCACCGGCUAACUCCGUGCCAGCAGCCGCGGUAAUAC
rnacentral:rRNA from 1 species